GACGAACGCUGGCGGCGUGCUUAACACAUGCAAGUCGAGCGGUAAGGCCCCUUCGGGGGUACACGGGCGGCGAACGGGUGAGUAACACGUGAGCAAUCUGCCCAUCACAUCGGGAUAACUCCGGGAAACCGAAGCUAAUACCGAAUACGACCACCUCCGGCAUCGGAUGGUGGUGGAAAGUUCCGGCGGUGAUGGAUGAGCUCGCGGCCUAUCAGCUUGUUGGUGGGGUAACGGCCCACCAAGGCUUCGACGGGUAGCCGGCCUGAGAGGGUGACCGGCCACACUGGGACUGAGACACGGCCCAGACUCCUACGGGAGGCAGCAGUGGGGAAUAUUGGACAAUGGGCGAAAGCCUGAUCCAGCAACGCCGCGUGAGGGAUGACGGCCUUCGGGUUGUAAACCUCUUUCAGCAGGGACGAAGCGCAAGUGACGGUACCUGCAGAAGAAGCACCGGCCAACUACGUG
rnacentral:rRNA from 1 species